GCCCCAGUAGCGCAAUGGAUAGCGCGUUGGACUUGUAAUCUAAAUGUUGUGGGAUCGAAUCCCACUUGGGAUG